rnacentral:rRNA from 2 species
UGGUAUUGAUUGGUGCUUGCAUCAUGAUUUACAUUUGAGUGAGUGGCGAACUGGUGAGUAACACGUGGGAAACCUGCCCAGAAGCGGGGGAUAACACCUGGAAACAGAUGCUAAUACCGCAUAACAACUUGGACCGCAUGGUCCGAGUUUGAAAGAUGGCUUCGGCUAUCACUUUUGGAUGGUCCCGCGGCGUAUUAGCUAGAUGGUGGGGUAACGGCUCACCAUGGCAAUGAUACGUAGCCGACCUGAGAGGGUAAUCGGCCACAUUGGGACUGAGACACGGCCCAAACUCCUACGGGAGGCAGCAGUAGGGAAUCUUCCACAAUGGACGAAAGUCUGAUGGAGCAACGCCGCGUGAGUGAAGAAGGGUUUCGGCUCGUAAAACUCUGUUGUUAAAGAAGAACAUAUCUGAGAGUAACUGUUCAGGUAUUGACGGUAUUUAACCAGAAAGCCACGGCUAACUACGUGCCAGCAGCCGCGGUAAUACGUAGGUGGCAAGCGUUGUCCGGAUUUAUUGGGCGUAAAGCGAGCGCAGGCGGUUUUUUAAGUCUGAUGUGAAAGCCUUCGGCUCAACCGAAGAAGUGCAUCGGAAACUGGGAAACUUGAGUGCAGAAGAGGACAGUGGAACUCCAUGUGUAGCGGUGAAAUGCGUAGAUAUAUGGAAGAACACCAGUGGCGAAGGCGGCUGUCUGGUCUGUAACUGACGCUGAGGCUCGAAAGUAUGGGUAGCAAACAGGAUUAGAUACCCUGGUAGUCCAUACCGUAAACGAUGAAUGCUAAGUGUUGGAGGGUUUCCGCCCUUCAGUGCUGCAGCUAACGCAUUAAGCAUUCCGCCUGGGGAGUACGGCCGCAAGGCUGAAACUCAAAGGAAUUGACGGGGGCCCGCACAAGCGGUGGAGCAUGUGGUUUAAUUCGAAGCUACGCGAAGAACCUUACCAGGUCUUGACAUACUAUGCAAAUCUAAGAGAUUAGACGUUCCCUUCGGGGACAUGGAUACAGGUGGUGCAUGGUUGUCGUCAGCUCGUGUCGUGAGAUGUUGGGUUAAGUCCCGCAACGAGCGCAACCCUUAUUAUCAGUUGCCAGCAUUAAGUUGGGCACUCUGGUGAGACUGCCGGUGACAAACCGGAGGAAGGUGGGGAUGACGUCAAAUCAUCAUGCCCCUUAUGACCUGGGCUACACACGUGCUACAAUGGAUGGUACAACGAGUUGCGAACUCGCGAGAGUAAGCUAAUCUCUUAAAGCCAUUCUCAGUUCGGAUUGUAGGCUGCAACUCGCCUACAUGAAGUCGGAAUCGCUAGUAAUCGCGGAUCAGCAUGCCGCGGUGAAUACGUUCCCGGGCCUUGUACACACCGCCCGUCACACCAUGAGAGUUUGUAACACCCAAAGUCGGUGGGGUA